rnacentral:lncRNA from 1 species
AGGUGCUACUUUCCUGUUUGUCCUUUUGUGUUUUUUUUUUCUUGGUAUAGGAUGAACCUGUGACAUACUUGCACACACACAAAAGGAAUUUAGAACUAUCAGAGUUCCUGUCCAAUGCCUGGAGUACUUUUUAGCUAGGUUGAAGAGGUAGGUCCUGGUCUUAAGGCUCAGGUGUAGGGAGAAGGAAAAUCUCUGCCAUUAGGAAGGUCUACUGGCUUCUUGGAGGGCUAUGAGAGGUGUUUUUGAAACCAACUAGGUCUCCUGGGGAAAGAGUACUGUAAUUGAUUAGGGAGAGUGUAGUAGUAUCUAAUAUGCCAGAUAACUGACAUCCCUGCUAUCCUUAAGAGAGCUAUCUUAGAUUGUCCUCAUGAGAAAAUUAGGGGCAUUUUUGGAGACCAGUGGGGGCCUGUUAAAUCCAAUGCUGCCAGCCAAAGGCAGAAGAAACCCCAAAGCUGCUAAGACUCCAGACUUCAGAGAGCUGGUGCUGUUCUCACUAUGUUGCUUAGCUCAGAAGCUGCAGAUAUAACCGUCUUUGGCCUACAGCAUAAUGUCCAAGCCCCUCCUUAGCCCAUCAUGACCUUCAUGCAUCUUCAUGCUCUCUUUGAUUUAUCCUAUGCUGCACUUAGCCCAAACUAAUUUUUAUUCCUUAUACCUUUCCCAAAGCAUUUGUCUGCUUUGCCAUGGUUUGAAAUGCACUUAAGGAAUUAGCAUACUAAGUUAACAGAAACAUUAGCUAUCCUGUCACUAACUCCCAAUCCCAAGUAUACAUGAGAGUCACUUGGAAAGCUUUUAUGUAUUUAUUUUGUCUUUUGUCCUUUUUAGGGCUGCACUUGUGGCACAUGGAGGUUCCCAGGCUAGGGGUCAAAUUGGAGCUGUAGCUGCCGGCCUACACCACAGGCAUAGCAAUACCAGAUCCAAGCCGCGUCUGUAACCUACACCAUAGCUCAUGGCAAUGCCAGAUCCUUUUUUUUUUUUUUUUCUUUUGUCUUUUUGUCUUUUUGCCUUUUCUAGGGCCACUCUUGGGGCAUAUGGAGAUUCGCAGACUAGGGGUCUAAUUGGAGCUGUAGCGGAUGGCCUAUGCCAUAGCCACAACAUCGGGGGGAUCCGAGCCACGACCUACACCACAGCUUAUGGCAACGCCGGAUCCUUAACCCAUGAGCAAGGCCAAGGAUCAAACCCACAACCCCAUGGUUCCUAGUUGGAUCGUUUCCUCUGUGCCACGACGGGAACUCCUGGAAAGCUUUUAAGAAUACAUAUUUUCAUGUCUCAUUCCUAGAGUUUUUUACUCCAAGAGGUUUGGGGAACAGGUUUGGCUUGUGUCAUUUUUAUUUUUCAUAAUUUAUUUCUAUGUUUUAUGCUUCAGUCUUUGCUCAUAUGCAUAGCUUGUGACACUGCAGUAGUGUAAUUGUUUUAUAAUUUGCUGUUUCUUACAUUUUUCAAUGUUGCGACAGUAUCCACAAUUAUUGUCAGAAAGGCUGCAUGCUAAUUUAUUUAUGGAUUUCUUGAUUGUUGGUAAGUUGUCUCCUGGAUUUUACUUUUAUAAAUGAUUGUGCUGUGCCUGUCUUCGCAAUAUUCUUUUUAAUGGACAAUACUGAACAUUUUACAUAAGAAUAACUUGAAGCCUAGAGGGGUAAGUGGCUUGCUUCUUGUCACACAGGAGAAGGAUGAGUAAAACCUGAAUCUGAUCUUCCCAGUCCUGAUGCAACACACCGUUGUCAUUCAUACUUUGUCCUUCAUAUGCUUUCUCCGUACACCCAAAUUCUAUUUGUCCUACAAAAAUUUGUAUAAAUACCACUUCACAAAAGCCAUUCUUUGCUCACAUACUUGUAAGAAAUUUGUCUUUUUGUGUGUGCAUGUGUCGUUUUAGGGCCGCACCCACAGCAUAUGGGGUUCCUAGCUAGGGGUCAAAUCAGAGCUUCAGCCACUGGCCUAUGCCACAGACACAGCAACAUGGGAUGUGAGCUGAGUCUGAGACCUACACCAGCUCACAGCAACGCCAGAUCCUUAACUCACUGAGCAAGGCCUGGGAUCAAACUCCCAUCCUCAUGGACCCUAGUUGGGUUUGUUAACCACUGAGCCACAAAGGGAAUUCUUAAACAUCCUUUUGUCUUUUUUUUUUUUUUAGGGCCUCACCCUCAGCAUCCUGGGAACUUCCAUAUGCUGCAGAAGUGGCCCAAGAAAUGGCAAAAAGACAAAAAAAAAAAAAAAGUUUUACUAUUUUAAGAUAAUUGACAGCUAGGAGACAGAAGAAUGAACUUGUCUUUUUAAUAACACUGAAUUUAUAUUCAUGUCUUUCUGUAUGCAAAUUGAUUCUUUCAUAAAAAGUUAGGCAGGUUUCUAUAGUUUGCUGCCUACUUACAAUACUAAAAAAUAGAACUAGAUCAUUGCACUAAAAUAUCUAACAUUUAAUUUCAUGAAUCCACAUUGGCAAUAGGGUCUAACGCUUUGAAUGUGUGGACUUACAUAUGUGGCUCCCUGUCUGACAUGGGUCCCUUAUCUCCACUGCUGCUCAGUCUCAACCACAAACCCAGCUAAACCUCAGGCUGGAGACUGACGUCCUCCUUGCCCUCAUUUGUUGAACUCGUUCUGACUUUUGUGUUGUUUUAGUGUCUGAGCACAUCUUAUUUCUACCUUCUUGGCCAUACUCUGGCUUUCAGAACUGACCCUCUUUCCUGGCCUAUGUUACAUCAAGUUCACUGGGGACCACUUUGCUCUCAUCACUGCUGUCUGUGUGCCCCCGGCUGGGCUGAUGCUUUCCCAUCUGCUGCUAGUCUUGUGUAUGAUUCUUAAUGAACUGCAGCACUGCCUUGGUUUCCAUGUAUAACAAAGGACAGAGCAGACCAAGAAACAUAGAUGAAUCAAACUAAAAUAGAUACUUGUGCACCCCCCCACACCUGCCCCACACAGGUCCGCCCCCACUGCACUACUGCAGGGGAACGUUUCAUCUCUAAUGAGACCUUUUCACCAAGUAUUGCAGCACUCAGCUUUCUCACAAGGUCAUUAGAUGUGACUGAGUAUUUGUUUGACUUCUUACCUUCUGGUUCAAGUGUAUCCAUAGAACAUUUUAGGAUGCUGGCAAACAACUAUUUGAAAUGUGAAGACUUUUCCUGUUCCCCCAAUCAGAAUUUAGCUCUUUCUCCCCUUUGCAGUCGUAAUCCAUUUUUUUGCCUUUGUAAAUUUAUAGUAAAGACAGUAAAUGUUAAAUUUUUUUAAAUCUUGAUUUUUUAUGAUUACAAAAUACAUUCUCAUUUUUUAAAAUGUAGAAAUAAGGUAUGACUUCUGAUUGAGAUGCCAAAGUGAGUUCACGUGUCUGUACAUUUCCUCUGUUUCAAACACUUAGCAAUAACAAGUAAAAUGGUUAAAAGCAGAUAUGUUGGAGUUGCCGUUGUGGCUCAGCAGUUAACUAACCGACUAGCAUCCAUGAGGAUGGGGGUUUGAUCCCUGGCCUCGCUCAGUGUGGUUAAGGAUCUGGCAUUGCCAUGAGCUGUUGUGUAGGUCCCAGACGUGGCUCAAAUCCCGAGCUGCCCAGCGGCUACAGCUCAAAAUGGACCCCUAGCCUGGAAACUUCCAUAUGCCGCAGGUGUGUCCCUAAAAGACAAGAAGAAGAACAACAAAAAAAGCAGAUAUAUUUAUGUGACUGAAAAUGGAAGAGAAAGCCCUCCUGGUGAGUGCAGACUCAGGCUCUGGGUCUAGAACCUGGGUGGCUAGGACCGUGACCUCUGCUGGUAAAACAGAUCCUGAAAGCUAGGAAGCCAGGCCUGGGAAGGGUGUCAGCUUGUGAAAGCAGACUGGUAGAACUAUUGACUUUCUGCUUGUUGCUUUGUGAAAAGACAAAAAUCAAAAAAACAACAUCAAAAAAACCCUGGGCCUAAAGAGAGCAAAUGAGAAAAAUAUGGCUUUUAGGUUUUUGUUUUGUUUGUUGCUCUGAGGCAUAUGGAGUGCCCUUAACCCACUGGCUUGGCCAGGGAUCAAACCUGCAUCCUGGUCUGCAGAGACUGGUACUGCAGAGACACUACGGAUCCUGUUGUGCCACAGAAGGAACUCCACUUCUAGUUUUUUUUUAAUCAAAAACAACCAAGUAGCCUGUUGGUUCAUUUAAGAUCUGGGUUUUUUUUUUGUUUGUUUGUUUGUUUUUUUGACCUUGCCCAUGGCACAAAGAAGUCCCUCAGCCAGGAAUUGAACCCAAGCCACAGCAGUGACAAUACUGAGUCCUGAGUCUUAACCAUUAGGCUACCAGGGAAAUCUUAAGACCUAAUUCUUUUUUCUUUUUUUUUUUUUUUUUUUUGGUCUUCUUAGGGCAGCAUCUGUGGCAUAUGGAGGUUCCCAGGCUAGGGGUCCAAUCGGAGCUGUAGCCACCGGCCUACAACACAGCCACAGCAACACGGGAUCCGAGCCGCGUCUGCAACCUACACCACAGCUCACGGAAAUGCCAGAUCCUUAACCCACUGAGCAAGGCCAGGGGCCGAACCCGAAACCUUGUGGUUCCUAGUCAUUUGUUAAUCACUGCGCUGCAACGGGAACUCCACAAGACUUAAUUCUUAACUGAAAGCUCUGGAGGGACAAUUAUAGUGGGAUAAGAAAAAGAAAAUGGAGAGAAUUUAAAAACGAACAGGCAAAACCUCUAACUAAAACUUUUCAUUCAAAGAUAUUGAGAAACUUCCAAAAAUAAUAAAUAAUAAUUCAGAACGUGAUUUAUACCAGUUGAAAAUAACUUUUAGAAAAAUUUUAGGGGAUAGUCAGGAUAAAAGACAAAUCCAUCACCAGACACAUCGUGGUGAAACUGUGGGGCCUCCAGAUAAAGAUAACAGGAAAAAAAGACAUUAUCUACAAAGGGCCAACAGUUAUACUGUCAGCUGACUUUUCAUCAGCAACAGUGAAGGCCAAGAAAUUAAGUAAUGUCUCAAAUGCUGAGGGAAAAUAGGUCAACCUGGAACUUUAUCCACAGCUAAAUUAACAGGAAUGAAUGCAGGAGUUCCCAUUGUGGCUCAGCAGGUUAAGAACCUAGCUAGUAUCCAUGAAAUGCGGGUUCGAUUCCUGGCCUUGCUCAGUGGGUUAAGGAUCCAGUGUUGCAAUGAGUUGCAGCUAGGUUGCCGACUUGACUCAGAUCUGGCGUGGCUGUUGGCUGGCAGCUGCAGCUCUGAUUCAACUCCUAGCCUGGAAACUUCCAUACACCAUGGGUGUGGCCCUAAAAAGAAAAAAAAAAA